AUACGGAGGGUGCAAGCGUUAAUCGGAAUUACUGGGCGUAAAGCGUACGUAGGCGGUUCGUUAAGUUAGAUGUGAAAGCCCCGGGCUUAACCUGGGAACUGCAUUUAAAACUGGCGAACUAGAGUUGAGUAGAGGGGAGUGGAAUUUCGGGUGUAGCGGUGAAAUGCGUAGAGAUCUGAAGGAACACCAGUGGCGAAGGCGACUCCCUGGACUCGAACUGACGCUGAGGUACGAAAGCGUGGGUAGCAAACGGGAUUAGAUACCCUAGUAGUCC
rnacentral:rRNA from 1 species